rnacentral:rRNA from 1 species
GACUAUCAAAGGAUUAUAAGAUUUAAUGAAUGCAAGAGAAUGGAAUUUCAGAAAAAAACUUUUUUCAAGUUAAAAAAUGAAUUUUUUUUAAUUUGUGCAGAAACAAUUAUUAUAUUAAGGACAAGAAGACCCUAUGAAUUUAUAAAUUUUAUUAAUAUGUACUACUAUAAAAAAUUAGCUGGGGCGGCGAAAAAUAUAACUUUUUUAAAAAAAAUGACCCAUUAUAAUGAUAUAGUAAAUACUCUAGGGAUAACAGCGUUAUAUUUUUUGAUAGAUCAUAUGACAAAAAAGUUUGCGACCUCGAUGUUGGAUAGGAUACUUUUUAAUGCAGAUAUAAAAAAAGCAAUUGUUCAACUUUUAUAUAUAUAUAUAUAU